rnacentral:rRNA from 1 species
UACAGAGGGGGCUAGCGUUGCUCGGAAUCACUGGGCGUAAAGGGUGCGUAGGCGGGUCUUUAAGUCGAGGGGUGAAAUCCUGGAGCUCAACUCCAGAACUGCCUUUGAUACUGAGGAUCUUGAGUUCGGGAGAGGUGAGUGGAACUGCGAGUGUAGAGGUGAAAUUCGUAGAUAUUCGCAAGAACACCAGUGGCGAAGGCGGCUCACUGGCCCGAUACUGACGCUGAGGCACGAAAGCGUGGGGGAGCAAACAGG